AACGCAUAUUGCGCCCCUUGGUAUUCCAAAGGGCAUGCCUGUUCGAGCGUCAUUAUAAAAUCUCAAGCCCCUAAAGGCUUGGUUUUGGGCUGUCAUAACAUGCCUGUGCUAGGCUGGUUAUGUGCCUGAAAAUCAGUGGCAGUGCCUAAAUGACCUCAAGCAUAGUGGACACCUCUUGUGCUUUGGAGGCUUCAUUUGUUAGGAUUGCUUGCCCUCCCUAAGCUACUUUAACAGUGUUUGACCUCGGAUCAGGUAGGGAUACCCGCUGAACUUAA
rnacentral:misc_RNA from 1 species